rnacentral:rRNA from 1 species
AAUGAACGCUGGCGGCAGGCCUAACACAUGCAAGUCGAACGAAGCCUUCGGGCUUAGUGGCGGACGGGUGAGUAACACGUGGGAACGUACCUUUUGGUUCGGAAUAACGCAGAGAAAUUUGCGCUAAUACCGGAUGAGCCCUUCGGGGGAAAGACUUAUCGCCGAAAGAUCGGCCCGCGUUGGAUUAGGGAGUUGGUGUGGUAAAGGCGCACCAAGCCUACGAUCCAUAGCUGGUCUGAGAGGAUGAUCAGCCACACUGGGACUGAGACACGGCCCAGACUCCUACGGGAGGCAGCAGUGGGGAAUCUUGCGCAAUGGGCGAAAGCCUGACGCAGCCAUGCCGCGUGAAUGAUGAAGGUCUUAGGAUUGUAAAAUUCUUUUACCAGGGACGAUAAUGACGGUACCUGGAGAAAAAGCCCCGGCUAACUUCGUGCCAGCCGCCGCGGUAAAAC